GGAAGAGUUUUCUUUUCUGUUUUAUAGCCGUACUACCAUGGAAGUCUUUCGCAGAGAGAUAUGGUAGAUGGGCUAGAAGAGCAUGACAUAUACUGUUGUGUCGAUAUUUUCUCCUCGGACCUUGAAAAUUUAUGGUGGGGACACGCAAACUUCUCAACAGGCCGUACCAAUAUCCGCAGCUGGUCUCCAAGGUGAAGAGUCUCUAGUCGAUAGAAUAAUGUAGGUAAGGGAAGUCGGCAAAUUAGAUCCGUAACUUCGGGAUAAGGAUUGGCUCUGAAGAUUGAGAUAGUCGGGCUUGAUUGGGAAACAAUAACAUGGUUUAUGUGCUCGUUCUGGGUAAAUAGAGUUUCUAGCAUUUAUGUUAGUUACUUGUUCCCCGGAUAGUUUAGUUACGUAGCCAAUUGUGGAACUUUCUUGCUAAAAUUUUUAAGAAUACUAUUUGGGUUAAACCAAUUAGUUCUUAUUAAUUAUAACGAUUAUCAAUUAACAAUCAAUUCAGAACUGGCACGGACUUGGGGAAUCCGACUGUCUAAUUAAAACAAAGCAUUGUGAUGGCCCUAGCGGGUGUUGACACAAUGUGAUUUCUGCCCAGUGCUCUGAAUGUCAAAGUGAAGAAAUUCAAGUAAGCGCGGGUCAACGGCGGGAG
rnacentral:ncRNA from 1 species